GUAGGUGAACCUGCGGAAGGAUCAUUAUUGUACUUAAGGUCACCAAUUCGAAAAUUCAAAUUGGUGAUCAUCAGUACAUUUGUUAUUGAUCCUAUUUUAAAUAGGAGCAAAAGUAUAUUUAAAACCCCCACACUUUGAAAAUUUAUGUAUAUUUUACUUAAUAAGUAAUUAAAAGAUCACUUUCAACAACGGAUCUCUUGGCUCUCGCAUCGAUGAAGAACGCAGCAUCUGACUGACUUCAGUACGAGGC
rnacentral:misc_RNA from 1 species